rnacentral:rRNA from 1 species
GACGAACGCUGGCGGCGUGCUUAACACAUGCAAGUCGAACGGAAAGGCCCUGCUUUUGUGGGGUGCUCGAGUGGCGAACGGGUGAGUAACACGUGAGUAACCUGCCCUUGACUUUGGGAUAACUUCAGGAAACUGGGGCUAAUACCGGAUAGGAGCUCCUGCUGCAUGGUGGGGGUUGGAAAGUUUCGGCGGUUGGGGAUGGACUCGCGGCUUAUCAGCUUGUUGGUGGGGUAGUGGCUUACCAAGGCUUUGACGGGUAGCCGGCCUGAGAGGGUGACCGGCCACAUUGGGACUGAGAUACGGCCCAGACUCCUACGGGAGGCAGCAGUGGGGAAUAUUGCACAGUGGGCGGAAGCCUGAUGCAGCAACGCCGCGUGCGGGAUGACGGCCUUCGGGUUGUAAACCGCUUUCGCCUGUGACGAAGCGUGAGUGACGGUAAUGGGUAAAGAAGCACCGGCUAACUACGUGCCAGCAGCCGCGGUGAUACGUAGGGUGCGAGCGUUGUCCGGAUUUAUUGGGCGUAAAGGGCUCGUAGGUGGUUGAUCACGUCGGAAGUGUAAUCUUGGGGCUUAACCCUGAGCGUGCUUUCGAUACGGGUUGACUUGAGGAAGGUAGGAGAGAAUGGAAUUCCUGGUGGAGCGGUGGAAUGCGCAGAUACCAGGAGGAACACCAGUGGCGAAGGGCGGUUCUCUGGGCCUUUCCUGACGCUGAGGAGCGAAAGCGUGGGGAGCGAACAGGCUUAGAUACCCUGGUAGUCCACGCUGUAAACGGUGGGUACUAGGUGUGGGGUCCAUUCCACGGGUUCCGUGCCGUAGCUAACGCUUUAAGUACCCCGCCUGGGGAGUACGGCCGCAAGGCUAAAACUCAAAGGAAUUGACGGGGCCCCGCACAAGCGGCGGAGCAUGCGGAUUAAUUCGAUGCAACGCGUAGAACCUUACCUGGGUUUGACAUGGAUCGGGAGUGCUCAGAGAUGGGUGUGCCUCUUUUGGGGUCGGUUCACAGGUGGUGCAUGGCUGUCGUCAGCUCGUGUCGUGAGAUGUUGGGUUAAGUCCCGCAACGAGCGCAACCCUUGUUCACUGUUGCCAGCACGUUAUGGUGGGGACUCAGUGGAGACCGCCGGGGUCAACUCGGAGGAAGGUGGGGAUGACGUCAAGUCAUCAUGCCCCUUAUGUCCAGGGCUUCACGCAUGCUACAAUGGCUGGUACAGAGAGUGGCGAGCCUGUAAGGGUGAGCGAAUCUCGGAAAGCCGGUCUCAGUUCGGAUUGGGGUCUGCAACUCGACCUCAUGAAGUCGGAGUCGCUAGUAAUCGCAGAUCAGCAACGCUGCGGUGAAUACGUUCCCGGG